CGGAGGGUGCAAGCGUUAUCCGGAUUUACUGGGUUUAAAGGGUGUGUAGGCGGACUUUUAAGUCCGUGGUGAAAUCUCCGGGCUCAACCCGGAAACUGCCAUGGAUACUAUAAGUCUUGAAUAUUGUUGAGGUGGGCGGAACGGGUCAUGUAGCGGUGAAAUGCAUAGAUAUGACCCGGAACACCGAUUGCGAAGGCAGCCCACUAAGCAAUGAUUGACGCUGAGGCACGAAAGCGUGGGGAUCAAACAGGAUUAGAUACCCUGGUAGUCCACGCCCUAAACGAUGAUUACUCGACGUUGGCGAUACACCGAUCAGCGUCCAAGCGAAAGCAUUAAGUAAUCCACCUGGGAAGUACGUUCGCAAGAAUG
rnacentral:rRNA from 1 species